UUUGUACUCCUUCCGUUCGGAAUUACUUGUCUCAAAAAUGGAUGUAUCUAGAACUAAAAUACAUCUAGAUACAUCCAUUUCUUCGACAAGUAAUUCCAAACGGAGGGAGUACUUU
rnacentral:pre_miRNA from 1 species